GGCAGGCAUGACGCAGCGAGUUUUUCCUCGCGGCGCUUGGCGCCGGCUCUCGGCGCGGUGGCGGCGAGGUCGCCGCUCCGGCCUGUGACGCGUGACGCACAGGUACGUGAGGGGCUGGCGAGCCCGGCGGUCACGUGGGGCGGGCGCUGUUGCCGCUGUUGCCGCCGCCGCCAGGCGCCGCGGGUCCCGCGCGCUCGGCCCGUCGCCGCCGCCGCCCUUCCCCCGCGCCGCAUGAGGCUGACGGCGCUCCCACAGCCGCCCGCCGCCCGCCGCCUCCUCCUCCUCAUCCGCCGCCGCCGCCCUUGAUGUGGUUCGGGGCCGGGCGGGGGACAAGAUGCCGCCGUCCAAGUCCCGCAAGAUCGCGAUCCUGGGCUACCGGAGCGUAGGUGCUGUCAUUGCCUCUGCGGUGCCUGAACAGUGGAUGGAGGGCUGGUGCUGUGACUUAGAGCUCCGCUUCUUUAAGAAGUGCUAAACCUGAUGGUUCUGAUGUAUGGAAAGGUAAUUGAAGUGGUACACUGACCUCGAGCUUCAAGGAAGAGCUGACUGGGAGCUGAGAGUUGCUUCGUAUUGAAGCUCUGGCUUUGAAGCUGGGGAAAAAGGAGUGCACGGAAUGCAUUACAGCAAGAUACACGCGUUUUUAUUUCUGCUGACAGAAUUUUAAAGCUGAUUUAAUGAUGAAACAACGACAGGGACUGGAAGUGUCUUUCACAGACAUUUCAUGUUAUACGUACCCAGCAAUCCAAGGAAAGGUCUGUUCCAUUCAACUACCCAACUAGCUGCCUGAACUGCGUGUGCAGGGGGAGGGCUUGGCUUCUGCCCAGCACUGUGAGUUAAACUUUGCCUUGUGGGGGAAGAAAAAAAAUCAGUUGUCUUUUCCUCUGAGUGUGUCAUAAACUGAAACAUUUGGGCCUGAUUUGUCACUCAGCUUUUCUGCCAGCAAAGGUAAGAAACAGAGGUAACCAGACUGCACUAGAAUACCCAAACCGUAUCUUCUGACAAAUGUUUCCUGAGGUUCCUGGCUUCAGUGGAGACAGUGUGCCAGCAGGAUCCUUCUCUGCAAGCAUCUGAUGGUCAUUUUUAACUCCCAUUAUAAUGUUGAUGUCACAAGGAAAUAAUGAUGACGUGAACGAAGCUAGGUCUCAAAGCAGGUGUAUAUACUAUGUUUAAGUGAUAAUCCUUCAUGAUUAAAGGUAAUAAUUGUAGAAUUAAGUUGUCUCAGUAAAACGCAGCUCAUGGUAUCAUCUCCAGAAGUUCAGAAACUGCCUUCUUCAUUGGCCCAGGUGUAUCAUUCCUAUAGUCAUUAGAAUGAUUCACUGAACUACGUGGACAUGGUCAGCAAAAUAGCAGCUAUGCAUAAUUAGUACCUGGGGGGGUUAAAGCGUUAAUUGACAUAGAAAGCUGCUAAUGAUGGAGUCUGAGAUGAGUGAUGAGCUAGUGAUGAAUUCUGCAAUCUUUCCUAUCUUGUGAAAAGACUUCUGUCCAAAAGCAAUGCUGCUGUUUCCGUUGCUGCCCGGUUGUACCUCACUGUGCUCUGAGAGGUCAUCCUGUGCUCUCCCGCACCCGUGCACCACGUGUUGGUGAGCUGAGCUGGGAACUGCUGGGCUCUCCAUUUUGUGCGCUGGUGUUCCGAAUUCAAACAAGGAUAAAGGUCUCAAUGCUCACAGUUAAAUUGAACACCUCCCUGUGCUUCACAAAGACUUUCUCAUGCUCAGAAAGUCGAGUGUAAAUGUGCAGGAGAUGCUACAAUUCCGGCAUGUAGGUAGGGUUUAUCUAAUUUGAUAGGACUGACAGCAUUUUGUUCUGAAAUUCACUGAACCUGUUCUUGAUCAGACCUCAACUGGUUGCUCUGUGGGCAGGAGCAGUUCUGUGCGGAGACAAACUUACAUAAGUCGCUGGGUUUGUGGCAUGAAUGGAUUAGAUGCUGCCAGCUGCUCGGUCUUUCAUAAUGAAGCAAAGUAUGUAAGUUGGCUCUGCUGUGGAAAAAGAUGGGUUAAAGACACCGUCUGCAUCUGAAAACCCAACAGAACGGGGAAGUGCAACUCCUCGCUAGUUGGCUGCUCUUAACCCUAACAGCUCUUUACUGACUACUUGUGCAGCCCAUGCCUCGCAUUGAGAAACCCUGCUGAGAUAGAAGUGCACCGUGGCCGUCAUCGUGGAGAUGGCUGAGCUUGGGACAGCUGCAGCUUGCACAAUGCCCUGCUUGUGGAGCUGCUGUGUGCCUUGCUGGUGGGCCGCUCGCAUCAUCUGUCUCCUGGAGGAAGUUGGCACUUGAGAGGAUUUCAGCUGGGCUUUCCUUCUGUUGUACAGAGGAGGAUGUGGGGAGGGCGGGCACUAAGGAGGAGGUGGGUCCUCUUUUGAGUGCCCACAUAGUACUCAGUUGCUCACGUUCUGGGCAAACUGCCUGGUGUUAGAAAGCUCAGAUUUUAUGGGUGGGCCCGACAGCCCAGUUCUUGUCCAAGGAGUAUAAGGGUGAGUGAAUAACUCCAUUCGGCAAUUGUUUUGCCUUGACAAUUACAAUGGUUACGGCUCUUUACAAGGGUGGAUACUGAUAGGACGAGAGGAAAUGGUUUUAAACUGAUACAGGGGAGGUUUAGGUUAGAUAUUAGGAGCAAGUUUUUCACGCAGUGGUGGUGAUGCAGUGGAACAGGUUGCCCAAGGAGCUUGCGGAUGCCCCAUCCCUGGAGGCAUUCAAGGCCAGGCUGGAUGUGGCUCUGGGCAGCCUGGUCUGCUGGUUGGCUGCCCUGCACAUAGCAGGGGGGUUGAAACUGGAUGAGCGUUGUGGUUCUUUUCAACCCAGGCCAUUCUAUGAUUCCAUUCUAUGGUAUUUGACGUGCUCUGACAGCGCUGGUCAGUGUGUCCGUGGUGUGCUUUGCUUUAUUCAGCGAGUGGUCUGGUGCAUGAACAGAAGUAGGACAUCUUGUUCUCUGAAAUGGUAUUCUGUCUUGAAAUUGCUGCUGUUCUGUUUUGGCAGUAGAGAAUGCUUUCCUUUACCACUCUAGCAUCAAAUCAUAAAUAAUAAAUCAUCUAUGUAGAUAGCCCUUUCCAUACUUCUGGAUGAGCUCUGAGCCCCCUGGGACUUGUAUUUCAGGUAACGUAAGUCCCUUACUCCCAACUCUUCCCUUUUCUCAUGUUUCUGCAGGGAUGGGAGGAGUGGGAAGUCUGGAGGGCUUUGCUUACACUUAUUUUGCCACAGGCUAGCCAGUGCUUUGAGUUACAGUAACCAAGUGGAGCUGGAAGAGUCACCCUAUUGCCCUGCCUCAAUGUUGCCUUUGCUUGAUGCAAUACAGAGCUGGAGGUAAUGGUCUCUAGUUGCACCAAUGGAGGUUCAGGUUGGGUAUUAGAAACAAAAUUUCUUCUUGGUAAGAGUGGUGCUGCAGUGGCACAGCUGCCCAGGGAGGUGGUGGGGUCACCCUCUCUGGAGGCACUCCAGAACCAUAGAGAUGUGGCACUGAGGACGUGGUCAGUGGGCAUGGUGGGCGUGGGUUGACUGUUGGAUUAGGUGGUCUUAUCCAACCUUAGCGGUUGUGUGAUUUAUUUCUUUGAUUCUAUGGUUUAUUUCUUCAUAGUAAGUUUAAACUCUCUCACGUUGAGCAGAGAUUGAAAAUGUUAAACCACAACCUUCCUCCGGUAAGAUUUUAGCAAGUGCUUUUUCACCUGGAAAUCACAACUCUAUGUCAGUUUGAGCUGACUUUGCCUUGUUCCUGCUCAGUACACUACUUUUGGUUUCAGUGGAUGUUUGUGUCCCUAAAACUUGAAGACAGGAAAAGUACUAUUGUGGAGGAUAAUGUGAGGAAAAGCUUAGCAAGCUGAAAAGUAUUUGGUGCCUAUUCCAAAUGAGGGCAUAUUUGAGUAGAGGUUUUUUUAGACGUGCACCUGUGAGCGACGGAGCCAUUGCUGCUGGUAUGAGCAGCCUGACAUCAGAAGCCCAUCCUAGGCUGAAGUAUGCUUAUGGUGUUGGUGCAGUGGGAUUGCAGCAUCUGCCCAUGCCCUCCUCCCUGCACAACAGCUGGGGGAUGCAGCCAGCCCUUCUGUAAGAACACAGUUGCAUGCAGUUCCUUGGCCCAUGCCUGGUGGACAGUGUAUUUAUGUUGUAAUUCUCUGAAAAUGUUGCCUGAUCUUUCUGGGGAAAGAGGAGAUAGGAGUUCAGUGGUGACCUUAAUUCUCCUCUCUGUCCGUAGUUCAAAGGAUUGGAAUAAAACCUGUGGGACAAAGUUCAAGCCAAGCUGUUGUUGACAUUGGCCUGUAUGUUUCUUGGGCAUGGGCUGAGACAUGGCACCGGCACUGAGCUGGGUUUCAUGUUUCUGGUGCCCACUUAGGGAGCCCUGGCUUAGCAGGAUACCACUGCUGCUCUUACCCAUGUGGUCCUGACUGACCCCAGGUCUGGAGAGCUCCCUUAUGGCUCCUGGGGGAAAGCAGGCAUCGUUGUGGGGGCACACAUGGAUGGCGUUACGGGGAGGCUUGGUACAAAGCUUGGGGGAUGUGGGAGGAGAGUGGUGGAAUACUGCUGUAGUCUUGUCUGUUUGUUUGUUUGCUUCUUUCUUUUUCACUGCUAGGAGGAAAGCAGUAAUUAAUACAGCUGGAUGUUAAAUGCAGCACUGUUGGCUCUGACUCCUUCCCAGGGCUCUGUUUCCAAACUUAGCACAGGCAGCAGCAGACGACGGCUUUCAGUUCAGGAUCUCUUUUAGGAGGAAAAGUGUUGGGCAGUCAUCUGUGCUUUUCUGGUCUGUAUAUCUGAGGUACCCAGAUAUCCAGGUAUCCAGGAACUUGAUUUUAAAUAAAGCAGCUUUCAGAAUGUUGUGGGCUGAUUUUUGAAUGAACUUUCUCCACUGCAAAGUAUUAACAUAGCACUGUCAAAGCACUGCCAGUGGACAACGGUAUCAAAAGCAAUUAAAUAUGGGAGAACAGUUUUACCAUAAACUAGUUUGUCCCAAAUAUCUGUUCUUUAUGAUGUCAUUGAAGUACUCCCUCUGAGUAGGAUGGUCAUGAUUCUAAAUUCUAACUUGAGGUCAUACUUUGUUUAUGUUUCUUGCUGAUGGGAGUGUGAAGGAGUACAGAGCGUGUACUCCAAAAGCAGCUAACACACUUGGCAAUCUUUAUAAGGGUAUAUUUAUCCAGUAAGCAACACGUAAUAGGAUCCAGUAGGUUCCCAAAUGUGGAAGAUGUACUGUAAUGGAAAUUGUGUUAAGGCUAUGGUAAAGCUUUGAAAAGUCUUUUCUUUCCAGAGCUUUGAAGUUGCUUCUUACAGUCAAUGUAUGUGACUCGCUUUCAUUUACCAUCUUGUCAAAUCUUUCAAGACUGAUUUGGUUCUAUCUGAGGGCCUUGUUUGCCAUGCAGGGACUGAAAAGGAUUUCUAGUUUUCCUUGCUUCUGGAUGGACAAACCCUCCAAGCAGAACAGCUCGCUGAAUUAUUUCUGUGAGGGUUGGACUCUGCAGCUUUUAGGUUAGUUUUAAACUGGAGGAGGCAUUUAAAUAAUGCUAUUGGAUCUGCAUUAGAACCAAAGCAGUACACACUGAGUAGCUUUUGCACUGUUUCUGAUAAAAGUUCAGGAGACCCAGUUGCUAAAUUUAGGGAUGUAACUCUAAAAUAGGUCACUUGUCAUCUGUAGUUUACGUGUACCACGCUGCUCAUAUCGGCUCAUCUAAAAGUGUUGCUCUGUCUGCUACCAGCUGUAAGGGGAUGACAGCCUGAAGACUUAUUUCAAUACCAGUUGUCUUUUCCUUGCUUUGCAGGAAAAUCUUCACUGACGAUUCAGUUUGUGGAAGGACAGUUUGUUGAUUCCUAUGAUCCAACCAUAGAGAACACUUUUACAAAACUGAUCACAGUAAAUGGCCAAGAAUAUCACCUUCAGCUGGUUGACACUGCUGGCCAGGUAAGUGCCUUUCUCCCUUUGCAUCUUUGGAGUUAAUGCAACAGGUAUUGGUGCUUGGGAAGAGCUACCCUGGUUGUGUCCAUGUGUUCAAAGCUGAAGCUCAACUUAAAUGAUUCCACUUUAUUUUGUUCUCUGAAAGUAAUGCUUGUAUAGUGUUUAUGCACUUUUUCUAUUGAAAUUGAAACAGUAGCUAGUGCUUAAAGUACAUAUGCCUAAAAAAGCCAAGAAAGAGCUGCCUGAACUCCAGUGUACCAAAGCUCUUAAGUAAUCCGCUUGAUACUUAUGGUCCGGUAGUCUUCUUUAAUUGGAAAAUGCCAAUUCAGUAAACCACACAGAAGUUUUUCUUGACUUUCUUCAGUCUGUGUGCUCCAGCACCUUGGUUUGUAUCCAUUAAAUAGUCAGAAUAGAAAGCAACAUGCAUAGGUAGCGCUCAUGAGGCUGCAAAGAAACUCCUGCAGUUUGUUUAUGUAACUAAGUAAGUGAAGGUUCAUGCAUGCAUACUUCUGAGCUUGGUGUAAUGAGGGGGAAUGCAGAAGGAGAUGGUAAACAAAUGUCUGUGGCGUGGUCAGUAGCGUCAUGAAAUAGAGGUGCUAAUUACACAGGGAUGCUUGGCAAAGCCUGGAGGUGAGUGUGUGCUCUGUGCUUUGAAGGGCUGUGCUUAAAAAAGGGACUGCUAAAUCCCUUACCAUCUUCCUGUUUGCAUGCUCUUACUUUCUGUGAGUUCUGGUAUUGUGCCUUUGGGUUUUCCCAAACUGUUAGCAUUAAGCAGCCAGUAAAGUACACGGGCAGUGCUUUAGACAUGAAAGCUGCAGGACAUUUGCUCAUAGCUGGGAGAGUAUUCAGGGCUGUGACCUUCUAGGACUAUUUGAUCACCUUCAAAGAGAGCUACAUGAUGUAAGAAUAACUGUGUGCUGUAAUUAUAUGCUGUCAGCUUGUGGUGGUAAUCAGCAGCACUAGAUCUACAGGUAAUCAGUCGGAGGGUUUAGUAACAGCAUUGACCACACAUACUGGGGUCAUAAACACGUUGUUUGGGAAAUUUAAACUAAAUAGAAUUGCACAGCUAGUAUUUUUCCCAGUCUGUGGUUAUUUCCAGCCUCGAUUCUUCCUGUGAAUGAGUUGAACUUUGAGUUGUGGCUCACAGGGCUAGAGGGAGAGAUAAUGCUGGGUUAUGGAAGGUGUGGUUUGAACAAAUUUCUCACAGUUCAGUCUUGCUUAAUGAUCCAUAGAGCAUCCUUACGUAUGCAGUAUAGCAAAGAUUAUAUUGCAGAUUUAUGUCAUAUACUUGAAAACUUGGCUAUAGCUUGAAAAGUUACAGCUCUGCUCGUUUUGUCACUUGGCAAAGUUCUUAAUUUGAUCCCCAACUUCCAGGAAGAGUUGUGGUCUUUUAUUUUUUUCCUUUCCUGACAAGCUAAAGAAAUAGUUUUCUUGGUACCUAUUUUCUGUCUCGUGCCUCUUUACCUCUCACAGUUACGUGUUCAGGUUUACAUAGCUGUGUUGAGCAGGAGGCUCACUAUGGGACCUCAGAACAGGAUGUAGCAACAAAUCUUUUCUGAACCUGAAUUCGAACUGUGGCAAUCCUGAGUAAUUGCAGAUAAAGGCAAAGAACUGUGGGGCUGCACUUUCACCUGUUUUACUUGCAGGCCAGCUCACAUCUCUCUGUGUUGACACUGGGAUUACACAGCCCGCGGAGAGGGCAGCGUGGCAUUUAAGCGGAGGUGGGGGAGGGCUGCCCUCAGUGUGUAGCAUUAAAGGCAAAUAAGGGCAUCAUGUGCAAGUGUUGUUCCUUCAAACUUUUUUGGCAGAAUCUGGGAAGUUGAUUUAUAAAAGGUUGUGGGGUUUUUUUUGGCAUUUGCCUAUUAAGGAAGUUUGCUUUCUGUUAGCUGUCUCGAUUUAAGCUGCAUGAUUGCACCGCUCCAUCUGUUCAGUCAUGACAAUAUACAGGGAGGUUAUGUAUCUUCAGCUAAAAUUAACAUCCUAAGAAACACAAGCUUAAAAAAUGGAGAGCUCGUACAGUAAGAUGUAUGGCUCUUGUCAAAAUGCAAAUGUUACCUGGGAACUUCUAUUAGAAUGCUUCUAUUUUAGUGUUUAACGUGAAAUUCUUCGUCUUAGUGUUGUGUUGUCUGCAUUCUGUCAAUCUGCCUCAGUUACUGAGUUGUUCAUUUGCAUUUUUACAGGUGUUGUAAACGUAGAGAUUUAUUGUCUAGGUUUGGUUUCUUAUGUUGGUUGGUGCUGAUGGUGGUAUUGCUUUGGUUUUUUAUUUUUUAUUGAAGAAUUGCCAUAUAAUGGCAACUUCUAGUUGCUGUGAAGCAACCAAUGGCUACAGUUCUUAGAUCUGUGAUGAGCAUUAGUUAGUUCGGUAUGCCACAGCUGCCUAACAGGCCCCAUAGGUAAGUUAGCUGUGGUCAGUGCCCCUUGAAGUGUGGAACUGCUAGAUCCUGUCUGCAGCUGCUGAAAUUUGGGAUUUGAUGGGAACGUAUCACUAGCAAGGUAAGAGGCAUAACUGCUAAUUAGUGGUAGGAGACAGAGUGGAUGUUUUGUACUAGGGUAAACUGAUAACUGAGCAGUGUAAGAGGAUCGGGGAUAGCUUUAGCUGAUCCGUAGUCUUAGAGGGAAUAAAGUAAAAAAGCUGUAGAUUAAAUUGUAGAGUAUGCAGACUAACAGGCUAACUAAGCUGGUGCCCCAAGCUCGCUUUGCUUUCUCUUAGUUGGGUAAAGAUUCCACACCUGGCAUUAUGAUGAAGAAACCUAAUUCUCAGAAUUACACAAAAAUGUUCUACAAAUGUGACUAUUGGCUGUGAAUGAUCUGCUAGCAUCAAGCUCUCAGCGUUGGCAAUAAGUAAUUGAAUUGCAAUAUUCCUUCUACAGGAUGAAUACUCCAUAUUUCCUCAGACAUACUCCAUAGACAUCAAUGGCUACAUUCUUGUUUAUUCAGUCACGUCAAUAAAAAGGUAACAAAGUCUGCUGUGUUCUCCUGCUUCACAUGUUAGCCACAUGCAUAUCAGCUCAGCUCCUGCCUCUGCUUUAUUUUUCUUUACGUAUGUGUAAUUCCUUCAGUCCCUUUGCCUUAGAAAUGUAACUGAAAUACAAAAGAAUGGCUUUUCAGAAUUUUCCCCUCAGAUCCAAAUGUCACAGGCACUUUGCAGACCAAAGCAGGAGGUACUGUGUGAGAAAUGGGGCAGUGCUGAGCUCCAGUGAUUGAGUGUAAGUGAAAGCACAUAGACUGGUCCCAGGAACAAACAGGCUUUGUGCUGUAGCGUAAGAGGUGACGAUGGAGUUCAGCAUGAACCACAAGAGCACUGCACGUUUAUGUGGACAACCAAGCUAGGUGUUCAUCUGUCCCUCAGCCUAGCAGCUUCUUGCAGUACUGAGAUUCCUUUGGCUUCCCAUCCUGACUCGUUCUGGUUAACCAUCAAAAACUUUGACAUAAGCAACAAUAUGAGACUCCUGGCCUGUAGGCUCACGCUUGCUAUGCUGCAGCAGAUCUCUUCUUUGAGGUUUCCCAGAGUUUCUGUCUUGUCCUCACUGCUAACUGUAGUCAAUCCUCACUUGAGGACAGGCUCUGUCAUAGCUGGAGAAGCACUUGGAAGUGUCUUAACCUUCUUUAAGGUAUUGUCAUCUUCUGUUAUUUUAUCCUUUCCCUUUGGUCUACUUGAUGUAAGUAUAGGUCAACCUUGAAUCACUCUUAGUUUCCUAAUACUGUACAGCAUCUUCGGCCAAAAUAAUCCUCAGUUUUAUAUUUCCAUUUGUUGAAAGUGAUGUUAAGACCUGAAGCCUUUCACUUCAGAUAGAAGAAAAGCACUGCUUCCCUUGUACUUGUAAGCUGAUCAGCUUUUGAUGAGCACUGAAGCAUUCCAUGUCUUCUCCUCUAAAACAGGAUGAAGUCGUCUUGAGUGUCCUUUAGUAAGAUCUUCAUAAACUGCAGGUGAAACAGCUCUCUUGUUGGUUCUUCUGUGCUUCUCAGAAAAUGGAUGUGGUCUGGUCAUCAACUUCAGCUGCUUUUAAGUUCUUUAAUGUUGAGCACAUUUUCAGUUCUUCAUUCUUGGAGUUCUCCAUUCUUGAUUUUCAUCUGUAGUUUCGAAGUAGUGAACAGAAAGCACGUGUGUUUGGGGGAAAUGCAGCAGGUGUGAGGCUUUCCUGUGUAUCUUAAGAAACUACCUUUUUUUCCUUCUUUUUUUUCUCACUCCCUUAAUCAGAGAUCUGUUGUUGGUGCUGAGUGACCUGUAUAAAGUUGGAGUAGUAUUCCCAGUCCUAAGAAGAAAUCCACAUUGUUCAGUAUUUGAUUCUUGAUCAACUCAAUCCCAAUUCUUGCUUUUUUUCUUGGAAAUUUCAAAGUAUUGAUGAUCCUUUCUUGUUCAAUUUCUUAUUUAAGUUCAGUAUCAAGAUGGUGUUUAGGCAACAGAAAAGAUCUUCCACUGUACUCUGGUAGCUUAGAUGUCUCUCCCAGGCAAUCAGAUUAGUCACUGUCUGUCUCAGUUUCUGUCAAAGUGUGUGUAUUGAUGGGAGUAUUGAUGCAGCUGAGUGGGAGCUUUGACAUCAAACUAAAUAGAAAUGUCCUCUUGAAAUUAUUUUCUUCCCUGCUGAUCUCCACUGGGAAGUUUAUAAUGGGGCUCGAGUGAAAGCUGAUGCCCUGCAUUUGUUAUAUUCCCAGACUCUCAGCUGCAAGGUUACUGGAAGGCUUUUGCUCUAGUUCAGCUUAAUUAAAUUCCAAAUUUGUCUCGUGCUGUGUUCUGUGAUCCUCUAUAUCACAGCUAGUGAUCCUUCAGGUUGUAUUUCACUCUGUUUUCCUGUAACCCUGUUUGCUUAACAGAACUGGAAAGGACCUCUUAUGGUCUGCAGACCUAUCGCUGUUUCACAACUUGGUGUGGUGUUGGUUUUUCUGGGGGGUGGAGGGGGGCUUGUUGAUAAGGGUUUUAAUUUGUGCCUUUGCUCCUUGUAGCCAUGUGUUUGAGAAUGCUUUCCAAAUUAAUUAAAUUGAUCCGGUCAGUCGAGGUUCAUUCUGGGUAGUUCUUACCAACUUGUUUCUGUGCCAGAAUCAUGUUGGAAUUUAAAUAGCACUUCCCUUUCGGUUUUCACCUUGAUCUAUUAAUAAAGAUCAGCUGUUAAUCCUUGGUCUAUUUUGCUAAAAAUUGAGCUCUAGAUGAGCAGAAACUGAGAACUGAGCAGCACAAGGUGGAACCACAGGUGAGGGCAUGCACUGAGCUGUGCAGUGGCACAGUGUUUUUCUGGCUACACUGGCAGCAGCUUACCUACCUAGUAGUAGAAAGUGAUUACAUUGGUGACUCGGCCAUCCUGUGGCUAGUAUGCUACAUCUCUCCUCUUGCUUCAGGCUGAGAAACAGUUCUGUGGUCUGUAUCAGAAUUAUUUUGAAUGAUUUCUCCUUCAGUUUUCAGGGUCAUCUGAUUCUCUCUGUCACAGCUGAACACCGUUUAACUCUUACUUCUGAGAUACCCUGCUGAAAGUCCAAGACCAGUUCUCAAGCCCAAAAUUUUGCUUAUACCUUUUCAGCAUAAGCUCUUCAUAAUCCUUAAUUCCUUCCAUUGAUUCCACGUUUAUGUAGUCUGUAGUAUAGUGUUUGAGUCAGUAACAGCAAGGUGUGCUGGACUGAGUUACUUCUUUUUGUACACAAUUCAUUUCUGAACAGGAUAUCUCCUAGCUCACCAUGGAAGUGUUGAGUUCUGCUCAGUCUGUAAAACUGUUGCUGAAGUAAUGCAAACAGACCUGCUUGACACACAAUCCUGAACUGAGGUAGCGUUUACUGUUCAGAACUGAGAAGCUUUAAGGAGUCCCAACAGCCUGAGUAGUGCUUCUGGGCACCGGUUCUUUGAGAAUCCAGAGCUUGGAUGUACACUGGAGUGCUGCCCUAUUUGUAAGAGCUUCAAUUCUAAUUUAAGCACAGUGCAAAAUGAAGAUGCUGCCCCUUUCUUCUUGUGUAGCUGCGUGUCAGGUGUGUGAACCAAGCCUGCACCUUUCUUAAAGCUCAGGUGUGCACUUCAUGCACCAGCAUCUUUUUUCCACAGUGUAAUCAGAAGAGCACAACAUCUGCUCUUUCACUCUGUUGAUAGCCUGUUCUCAAGUGUUAAAUGUCAGACAUGGGACUUCGGGCCUCACAGUGUUGUGCAGUGCUGUUUCUUAUCUCCAGUCAUGCAAACAUCAUGUGGGCAGCAGGUGAGCUGUUAGGUGCCUCAACAACCACUGCUUUGCUGUUGUCUUGCCCAUCAGGUUCCUCACUAUCCAUAAGAUAUUGGAAUUCAGCCUUCUCUUGGUUUUCACAGAAUGCCAAAACAACAUUCAAAGACUUCUAUGAGAGUUAAGGUUUAUUUAAAGUUAUGUAUUCUUCUCGGUGGGUUGUGCUGAACUGAAUGCUGUUCCUUUGAAACUCUGCUUUAGUUUGACAUGCUCAUCCAGGCGUGUCGGACUGUAGUAGCCGAAUUUCUUACUGUGAAUGCAGACCAGAUUGGAGGGGGCAUGGGGGCUUUUAGCACUGUGUGUUAGAUGCACCUGUCCUGGGUAACGUUUAUUUCUGCAAGUAUCAGAACUGGGUGGGCUGUAACGAUGUGCAAAGUACAGUUUGCUGCUGCCUCUGGGACCAUUUUGUCUGUUGUACACAAACCAGUAACACUUCAGCAUCUUUGUAGUUCUGCCACUGUACGUAAUUUUUAACACAGCAAUCUACAUAUGCAUUUAAUUGCUUGCGUAUUGAUUGGGUAUUAAGGAUAAGCAUUGGAGUGCACGUGUGACUUCAUCCCUUUAUUUUGCAGUUUUGAAGUGAUAAAAGUUAUCCAUGGCAAGUUAUUGGAUAUGGUGGGAAAAGUCCAGUAAGUAGUGACACUUUCAUCUCAUUUCACUGCAGGCAUGUUGCUAGUACUUCGUUCAGUAUACUAUAACUAUUCUGAAGUUCUGAACUUUCUUUCACAGAAUACCCAUUAUGCUGGUUGGAAAUAAAAAAGACCUGCAUAUGGAACGGGUGAUCAGCUAUGAAGAAGGGAAAGCUUUAGCAGAAUCCUGGAAUGCAGCUUUCUUGGAAUCUUCUGCUAAAGAAAAUCAGGUAACAAAUUUAAGAUUCACUUAUUUGAAUAGCAGUGUUAUGGAAUGUCUCAUAGUUUCACUUGAUAAAGGAAGCUAAAUAUCUGCACGUCCUGUACAGAUAGAUUGUGUAGAUGGUUGGAAAUAAAAUGGGUGUCUGCGUUCAGGUUUAGAUAUAUAUAUAU
rnacentral:lncRNA from 1 species